GGUUGUAGCUCAGUGGUAGAGUGCUUGCCUAGCAUAUGUGAGGCACUGGGUUCAAUUCUCAGUACCA
rnacentral:tRNA from 1 species